AUUGAACGCUGGCGGCAGGCCUAACACAUGCAAGUCGAGCGAGCGGCGGACGGGUGAGUAAUGUCUGGGAAACUGCCUGAUGGAGGGGGAUAACUCCUGGAAAAGGUAGCUAAUACCGCACACAAUCAGAUGUGCCCAGAUGGGUUUGGCUGGUGGGGGGGGUAACGGCGCACCUAUGCGACGAUCCCUAGCUGGUGUGAGAGGAUGACCAGCCACACUGGAACUGAGACACGGCCCAGACUCCUACGGGAGGCAGCAGUGGGGAAUAUUGCACAAUGGGCGCAAGCCUGAUGCAGCCAUGCCGCGUGUGUGAAGAAGGCCUUCGGGUUGUAAAGCACUUUCAGCGGGGAGGCGUUACCCGCAGAAGAAGCACCGGCUAACUCCGUGCCAGCAGCCGCGGUAAUUC
rnacentral:rRNA from 1 species